rnacentral:rRNA from 1 species
GACGAACGCUGGCGGCGUGCUUAACACAUGCAAGUCGAGCGGUAAGGCCCUUUCGGGGGUACGACGAGCGGCGAACGGGUGAGUAACACGUGGGUGACCUGCCCUCCAGCUCUGGGAGUAAGCCUGGGAAACCGGGGUCUAAUACUGGAUAUGACUCCAUGACGCAUGUUGUGGGGUGGGAAAGCCUUGUGCGGCUGAGGAUGGGCCCGCGGCCUAUCAGCUUGUUGGUGGGGUGAUGGCCUACCAAGGCGACGACGGGUAGCCGG